GUUCUGCUGGUGAGACAGUGUGUUCACAGAAAACCUGAAGCUAUACAACAAGAAGCUGCAAAUGAUAAUUUCACAGACAUCACAUAUAGUGACAUGAAAUCAUCACAUCAUCAGCAAAGGACAAUCAAACAACUCAGAGACAUUGAUACAGCUGUGGUGUACUCAGCAGUGAGAACUGAAGAUGUCACUUAUGAACAAAUAGCCAUCAAACCAAAGAAGAUCAGAGGAAACAACCACGAUACAGGAAACAGCAAAGGCAUCAUUUGAUACUGUGAACUGCACAGCAGAGCUUCAGUGCAGGAUGUGUCUGUUUGAGACUGAAACACUUUAUGUCCUUGGACACUCAGAACCCAAUCAGCAGCAGGUGACAUGGUGCAAAUGUUCAUUUUAAUGAAGUGUUUAAUCUUGUAUAAAAUGUGAGAAAUGUCCUGUAGUUUCA